rnacentral:misc_RNA from 1 species
CUGUUCGAGCGUCAUUACAACCCUCAAGCUCUGCUUGGUAUUGGGCAUCACCCGUCAGGGCGUGCCUUAAAGACAGUGGCGGUGCAUCUGGCUCUAAGCGUAGUAAUUCUCUCGCUAUAGGGUCCUGUGGAUGCUUGCCAGCAACCCCAAUUUUAUCUAUGGUUGACCUCGGAUCAGGUAGGGAUACCCGCUGAACUUAA